UCUACAUUUAGCAACUAACUUUGUGCCUAUGCCAAGAAAGUUUUAACUCUAGUAUCUCUGUGCCCUGCCAUUUCAUCUUUCCUUUGUCAAUUACUGAUUUAGUGCUUGUUUGUUUUUUACUGCAGUAGAAGAAGCCAACAGAGGAGAGAUCCAUGUGUAUGGACAGAGCUAGAGUGAUUGGUGCUUCAACAGCAGUCUCUUCAACUUUGCUUGAGUGUGGAGGCCACACAGAUCACAAACUCCAUUGGCUGCAAGAUACCUUUGCUCAAAAGGAGCUAACCACUGCACUGUUCCUCAGCAUAUCAAAGCUAAGCUGAAUUGUAUGCUACUAACGAUUUGGAAAGAUGAAAGAGAUUAACAGCACAAAGAUGCCAAUAAUUUUAAAUAUGAUCUUUAAAAAAAACUGCAUUCUUAAAAUGAGAGAGAUACACUCAAGGAAGAAGCAACUGCUCCAUACAUUAGCAUGUCCAAAAAUGAUAAUUAGACCUGCUGAGCUAUCUUUGCAACCAGAGAGGAACCAGCUUGAAAACAAAGCCGACACAAUGAGACGACAGCAGAAAAUGAAAAGAACUUGAGUCUUCAAUGAUGAUAAUGAAGUGAUGGACUAAACCUGGAGGGAGAAUACCUACUAUGGGCUUCCUGUCAUCUAAGCUGUUGCUGCAAUCCUUGUAUUUAGAAGGAAGACGACUGCUAAAUACAACAGCAAUUAACAUUCUCAAUACCUUGGCAAUACCUGAUGUUUUCUGUUUACUUCUAAUUAACUAUAAAACACUUAAUAGGCAUAUAUUCUUAUCAAAGACCUCAUUAAUUUUCAUGAGACCCAUAAAAAGCAAAGAAGGGGCGGGUUAUAUUAUUCCCAUUUUAAGAGGUGAUAAUUAAGCCUUGCUUGGAGUGACAUGUUGACUAUUUAAAAAGUUAGGAGUAGGAGUUCCCAUCGUGGCACAGUGGAAGUGAAUCCAACUAGGUAGCAUGAGGUGGUGGGCUUGAUCCCUGGCCUCACUCCAUGGGUUAAGGAUCUGGUGUUGCCGUGAGCUGUGGUGCAGGUUGCAGACAUGGCUUGGAUCCUGCAUUGCUGUGGCCGUAGCUAGGCCGACAGCUGUAGCUCCGAUUAGACCCCUAACCUGGGAACCUCCAUAUGCCUCGGGUUUGGCUCUAAAAAGCAGAAAAAAAAGGUUAGGAGUAAAUUAAAAUUCUUGACAAUGGUGCUUGUGUCUGUCAACCAGUGUAGUCUUCCAUUGAUGGUAUUUAUUCAUCAGACCCUGGUUACUGCCCAGUCAUAAAUGUCUAAUUUCAAAAUUUUUUUUAGAUGUACACAGCAGAUUGUGAAGGGUUGUUGCUAAUUAAAGAUGGACAACACAGCAAGGACAUUUCCAUUCCUAGUGGUUUACCUUUUUUAAACAAAAAUGAAGCAACGAAAAAUUAAAAAGGAGAAAUGAAAAGUACACACUUCAAGAAAUAUUUACUGUGGGCUACCUGAUACUAAGUCCUGUGCUAGAUACUAUGGUAGAUGAAAAAAAUAUAUAUAUACACUUAUGAUGUCAUUUAAUAUGUAAGUUGGAACUCACAACUUACCUGCAGGAAACAUGGAGAACUGUCAAAGACAUAUUGUAACAUAAAUACAUGUCAAAUUGUAUGAAUAGGAGAUUUCUGUGUCCUGGAAGGCAGAGAACCCUUUAUGCAGAAGGUGGACUUGGAGAUGGGUUUUGAAAUAUUACCAGGACUGUUUCUAGUAGACAGUAUGUGUCUGGGGAAAUAGGAUCCAACUUGACAAAGCAGUCAGUGAAUAUGGGUAGGGUCAUUCUUGCUACCCUAUGAAAGAGAAACUUGGCAGCUCUCAUGUGGUCAUUUCCUGCUUUGUGAACUUGAAAAUUGGGUUGGCCUCUUGGCAGGUGUCAAGUCAAAAAACACAACCAAGCCAAAUAUCUGAAGAAGGAAGGACUUAUUAUUACUUGCAGCAAGUAAGGAGAACACCAAGGAUCUUUUUUUUUUUUUUUCUUUUUUCUUUUCAGGACUGCACUCGCAGCCUAUGGAAGUUCCCAGACUAGGGGUCGAAUCAGAACUACACCUGUUGGCCUACACCACAGCCAUAGCAAUAUGGGAUCAGAGCCAUGUCUGCAACCUACACAUGGCUCACGGCAAUGCCAGAUCCUUAACUCACUAAGCAAGGAACAUCCUCAUGGUUACUAGUGGGGUUUGUUUCUGUAGAGCCAAACGGGAACUCCCUGAGGAUGUUUCUUAGAGCAGUGUCUCACCAACAGCAAAUUGGGGAAUUUUUAAGUUAAGGGUACAUGCAUAUUCAUAUAGGGGUUUGGGUGGUGGACAAAGUCCAAGCUUUAGUUGACUGAAGUCAUGAAGGUCAGAAAAGUCCAGCAUCAUCAUCUCUUAGGUUCCGGUGGACCUGGUGGUUGAGUCCUUCAGGGUAAUCUUCACCAUUGAAAGACAACGAGGAUUCUUUACAGCUUUGCUUGUUAUAUCUUUUGCCUCACAACACUCUGGUUUCUGCACUUUUAUUCCCUUAAGAUCUUUACUUCCUGAGACAUGUUUAAGGGCCAG
rnacentral:lncRNA from 9 species